GCGCGUGUAGCUCAGCGGAAGAGCGCCGGAAUUUAAUCCGGAGGCCGGAGGUUCAACUCCUUCCACGUGCGCCA
rnacentral:tRNA from 1 species